rnacentral:rRNA from 1 species
GCCUUCCUACGGGGCGCAGCAGUAGGGAAUAUUGCUCAAUGGGGGAAACCCUGAAGCAGCAACGCCGCGUGGAGGAUGAAGGUUUUCGGAUUGUAAACUCCUUUUGUUAGAGAAGAUAAUGACGGUAUCUAACGAAUAAGCACCGGCUAACUCCGUGCCAGCAGCCGCGGUAAUACGGAGGGUGCAAGCGUUACUCGGAAUCACUGGGCGUAAAGAGCGCGUAGGCGGGGGAGCAAGUCAGAUGUGAAAUCCCAUGGCUUAACCAUAGAACUGCAUUUGAAACUGUUAUUCUAGAGUAUGGGAGG